CGCCGCCUCAUGCUGUAACAAACGUGCCGUACCGCAGCCGGGACCUCACGCCUUCCCUGGGUGCCGCCGCCUCGUGCUGUAACAAACGUGCCGUACCGCAGCCGGGAUCUCACGCCUUCCCUGGGUGCCUCCGCCUCGUGCUUGUCCUGCCUUUGUGGGGCCACAGUGCCCAGAGUGCAAAUCGCACAGCUGUGGCGGUGCUGCCGCCAGGCAUUCGUAGUCUCCUGUUGCUUCUGUGGCCUGAAUUGCUUCCAGUCAGCAAGAAUUGUUCCCAAACGUCAUUCCCCUCUGGAGCUCGGAGGAUAUUACUUGAGAAGCGCUUAUGGAGCACUUUUGCUGCUCAAGAAAUUCCAGGAAAAACAAGCUGCCCAGCUAUCAGUGCACCAGAAAAGCUGACCAGUCUGUCGGCAUCCUGUUACAGGGACCCUUCAUUGAGCAGUCCUGCUGGAUUGGAGGGAAGUCUGACUGACAUUCACGGAAAUAGGCCAAGAACGUAAUGGAGACCCCUCAGCAGGUCUUUCCACUUUAUGACCUCUCAGUAGGACUUCUUAUUUGAAUAUGUUACCUGCUGCUGGCAACUGCUAGCAUCCAUGAAGGAGUCACACUUUGGAAUUUUAUGGAACAGUUUAUGGAACUAUGCUUUUUAUGAAAUUGUGACAGGUUAAGGUUCAGGAAUUGUUGGUGAUGGUAUCUGUCAGUGAUAGUAUUUGACUGCAAAAACUCACUCAAAGCAAUAUACGGAGAAGUUGUAGUCCCCAAUAAAAAUAUUCAGCAGGCAGAGUGCAUUUCUAACCCAACAGGGGUUCCUAUGGGGCAGAAGACAGGUUCAGCCCAUUGACUGAUCCCAGCAGUUAUGAUGGAGCCUUCACUAACUUUUUCUCCAUUCUUGGCUUACUUUUAUAGUAUUUCUUUAUAUUUAGGUGAAGCUUGAGUGACUCUACUCAUGCAUAUAUUUGCUACUGACUGGUGUAAAAUCCUCUCACUUCACUUUCAAAGAUACAAUCAAAAAAAUGUAUAGGGCUCAUUUUCAUUGAGAGGUUUUCAUAAUUUGGAGGCAGUUAACUUUGGGAUGGAGGUGUGCAUUAAUAUUACAAUUAGGCUAUAAUAAACCACGUUCAUCUGAGGAAAGCGAUUUUGCCACAUUGCUAGCUUGGCAGCAAGACAUCUCUCUCACAGCUGCUAUGCAGUUAAUCAGCUUCGAAGUACCAUCAAGUUGCUGCCAAGGAUUUUGGCAGAGCCUGGUCGAGGUAUCUCCAUUCCACUGCACCCUUCCCUUAGCAGGUGCUUAUGGUUGUAUGGGGAAUCAUUGUGCAGCAUGCCAACCCAGUUCCAUCCUGGGAACAGCAUCUGUAUUUUACCCUAAAAUUUCUGUCCCGUUGUAACUCCUGUUAGGAUACAAAUGUAACUUAGUUUUCUCUGAUUUUACCCUCAGUCAUCUUUCCAUACAAACAUUGCUCCCCUCUCCAGAGGAUUAUUGUGAGCAGAUGUGAGCCCUGCUGUCCCUUUGGACUGAGAAAGACAGGUUUUUUCCCAAGUUCCUUUUGAACCUGUUGUGCACCUGUUACAAGUCUUCAGUCUCCUGCAGUUUUGUGGGUCAGUCAUGUGUAGAACAGCACAACUGGCUGGCAUGCUUUGCUUGUGAGGGGAGACAAGAGAAGAAUCCCUCUGUUCACACCAGACUUGCAGCUGCCAAACCUCACCAAAGCACCUGAGGAGCCCCCAGGGAUUGAUGGCACAGAGGGAGCUGAUGGAGGACAGCACAGCAGGCAGCCUGUCCUCCCAUCAGGUCUGGCUUAUGGUGCCACCCUGAGGGUUUCCCCUGUCUUCGGGCAGUCCUAGCUACUGCAGCUCACUUGACAGAGACUCACUGUCUAUACUGUGCUUGGCUACACUGGAGAGGAUGAAGCUGAGGACAGCAAUGGUUGCCUUCACAUCCCCUGACUGCAGACGGGAGGGAGGGCGAGCUCUGUCACCUUGGGAAGGCAUCUGCAGAUUCAUUGCUGCCCAUCUCUGGAGCAUGGCUCUAUCGGGGGAUCGUGGUAAGGACAGCAGUGCUCACCUAACUUUGCACCUGAGGACAGCUUCAGGAUCUUGUCAUACUGUGGGAGAGCAGAGCUUCACAGUAAACACCAGCUAACACGCUUACUACCAGUGUUAACACUAACAAUUCUUACCCAAAUAUUAAUACUAAUAACACUUACUAUGCAUAUUAUUAAUGCUAGUAGAGGCUGGUAGCGUUCUUAAUGCUGAGGCUUGCAUGAAGAACACAAAAUUAAUUAAUGUUGCUGAUUAUGCUAUUGUGGUGUUGAAAUACUUGGCCUCCACUGCAGUAGCCCCACACUUACCUCGAUGGCCUCCCCCAGCAGGUCCCGAAGCACUGGGAUGCAGAUCAGCUUAAGCAUCACUGAUGUGAUAAACAGAGUUCACUCUUUAAAAUUUUUAAAAGUUUAAUAAAGGAUAAAAGGACAAAAUAAUCUAGCACUGGGGUGCUUUUGGCACCCGGCCACAGAGCACAGAGGUAGCUUAAAAUCAUGUUCAAUAUAUAUGGUUACAUUGCUGGGGUUACACGCAUAUUCAUUAGCUUAUACAUUAUUCAAACAUUCCUUUGAGUUUUUGGUGUUCCAGGAACUCUCUUGUUUGGUUUUAAUCUCUGACUUGUCUGCAGAACAUUCUGUAAAUUAGGUCUAAAUAUUUUAUUUCUUCCUGUAGUUUUAUCCUGUUGCUUCACACUCCCUGAUAGCGCCGACAGAGCUGAUAAAUCUUCCUGGAUGCUUA